UUCCGUAUCCAGAAGUGAUUGUGGGCUGCCUGUGCCCUAGUCAUUAAUAACACAGGGAGGGAAAGCAUUUUCCCCAUAUUUGAAGGGUCCAGCUGUCCCUUCCAAAUCCUGGAGUCUUCACACA